rnacentral:tRNA from 1 species
GGGGCCGUGGUGUAGCUUGGUUAGCACGCGAGCCUCGGGCGCUCGAAGUCCUGGGUUCAAAUCCCAGCGGCCCCA